rnacentral:lncRNA from 1 species
ACGAGUACUAACAGCUCCCUUCUCCCUUCCUGCAGCCUCGUCCUCGCACAGACACCCCUUUGGAGGGGCUCCCAAGUUUGCAGGCAGACAACACCUCAGGAGAGGAUUCAAGGAGCAAGGGUUUUAUGCCCAGAAACAUCCCACUUCAUCUCUUCAUGCACUUCCAUAGCAAAAGACAAAUGUGGAUGAGUAAAAACGGCCACGCAGAGGAAGAAUAAUGUCCGAAUAGACUACAAGAUAAAGGGAGCCCAAGAUGCUCUGCAGAAUCCAUCGGAAGCACCAAACGGAGCCACGAGACAGCAGCAGCCGACAAAACCCACCUGUAGAAACUGUGUUGGGACCUUCAUUAAUCAUCUAUCAGAGGUGCCAAAUAAGUACACAGUCAAGCACAACCGCUUCCACAAACAGGACUGUCGGGAACAGGCAGGGGACACCGCACCUACUCUGAGCGGUGCCCAGGAUGGAGGUACUCUCCCUCUGGGGUGAGAGAUGAAAACUGCCAGUGAUGGCAAGGGAACAGCUUGCAUCUGGGCAUACAGAGAGGCAGGGCAAGUUGGGAAGCUUAGCACCCUGUAGGCAAAGAUAUAUAUUGCAAUUUUAAAACCUACGCAGCUCACUAUGGAUGGAGUCUUGAUGGACUUGAGGGAUAAGGAAGGGUUAUGUCUGAAAAAUGUAAAAAGGAAAAUAGAUCAGGUGUUACUUAACUUUUAUGUUUAGGUACAUUGUAACAUUUUGAAAUGCGGAAUUCCCAUCGUGGCUCAGUGAUUAAAGAAUCCAACUAGGAACUAUGAGGUUUCGGGUUCGAUCCCUGGCCUUGCUCAGUGGGAUAAGGAUCCGGCCUUGCCGUGAGCUGUCGUGUAGGUUGCGGAUGCAGCUUGGAUCCUGAGUUGCUGUGGCUCUGGCGUAGGCCGGAGGCUAUAGCUCCGAUUGGACCCGUAGUCUGGGAACCUCCGUGUGCCACAGGGGCAGCCCUAGAAAAGACAAAAAAUAAAAUGGAUAAAUAAAUAAAAAUAAAUAAUGCC